GACGAACGCUGGCGGCGUGCCUAACACAUGCAAGUCGAACGGAAAAGCCCCUUCGGGGGUACUCGAGUGGCGAACGGGUGAGUAACACGUGUGUAACCUGCCCUUGACUUCGGGAUAACCUCAGGAAACUGGGGCCAAUACCGGCUAGGAAUCCUUGCUGCAUGGUGGGGGUUGGUAAGAUUCGGCGGUGUUGGAUGGGCUGGCGGCUUAUAAGCUUGUUGGUGGGGUAGUGGCUUACCAAGGCUUUGACGGGUAGCCGGCCUGAGAGGGCGACCGGCCACAUAGAGACUGAGGGGCGGCCCAGGUUCGUAAGAGUGGAAGCUGGGGGAAAUAUUGCACAAUGGGCGGAGGCCGGAUGCAGCAGCGCCGCGGACGGUAUGACGGCUUUAGUGGGGAGAACCGCUUGCAAGAGGAGCGAAGCUUGUUGUGACGUUACCAGCAGAAGAAGCACCGGCUAACUACGUG
rnacentral:rRNA from 1 species